rnacentral:rRNA from 1 species
GGGCCCGCACAAGCGGUGGAGCAUGUGGUUUAAUUCGAUGAUACGCGAGGAACCUUACCAGGGCUUAAAUGGGAAAUGACAGGGGCAGAGACGCCCCCUUCUUCGGACAUUUUUCAAGGUGCUGCAUGGUUGUCGUCAGCUCGUGCCGUGAGGUGUCAGGUUAAGUCCUAUAACGAGCGAACCCCUACCGUUAGUUGCCAGCGAGUCAUGUCGGGGACUCUAACGGGACUGCCGGUGCAAACCGUGAGGAAGGUGGGGACGACGUCAAAUCAUCACGGCCCUUACGUCCUGGCCACACACGUGCUACAAUGGUAGGUACAGAGGGCAGCUACCGGGUGACCGGAUGCGAA